CUGAUCAUUCCUUUCUGGCCUGAGCCUUGGCAGUGCAUCCCGCGUGUGGUUCUGUGCCUGCUUGGAUUGGUUGGAUGUUGUUUCAAGAUGUCGUGCCAGUGUCAUGCUGGCCAGAGAUGAUCCUGACAACCAUCCCUGCUCCAGGUUAUAUCAGGAGCAUCCCGGUCUACACUAGGGUGCACCUGUUUGUGUCUGACUCUCUCCAGCUCCCAUCUGCUGACCACCAACUCUCCUCUUACCUCCUGCAUGACCUCCUUUGCUUUACAUGUUUCUGAGAUGACCAUCUGCUUAACAGCAUCAGAGCUGACAUUGAUCGGGCCCAACCUCGCCCCCCAUCAGAUGUGGAAAUUGAAUUUCUUCUGGAGUGUUCUUGCCCAAGGUUGUACCAUCUCUCCUAUAACACAGCCUCAGUUAUUUGAGAACCACACUGAGGCUCAGAACUCCGAUUUUUGUGUUCAGUAAAUUGAUUUAAUGGUCAGGAAUGCAUUUGGUGGCCAGACUUCCAGGGGGCCCAUGGAAGUUCAGGGUGAGUUGUACGACGAUUGUUUUAUAGUAGAAAUAAAUGAUUGAUAAUACCUGCUUUCAACUUCUCUAGGAAAAGGUAAUAUUUUUCACGCUUUGUAUUAUCAGGCUCUAGGGCUUUAAUGACAAAUGUGUUUGAGUGCCCAAACAGGUCUGAUGGCCUUUCUGAAGGCAGUUUGAUGCUGCUGGAAGGUGCAUUGAUAGGUCUCCAUUAGGACAAGGGUGUACCUGACAAAAUAAUGUUCAUAUUGUCCCUGGCACUCUGUGGAUGGAUCUCUGCCAUUUGGUAAAGAGUUUCACCUUUGAUAAUUGCAUACUUAUUCAUUCACAGUAUAAAUAUUCAUGGACUGCCUUCUAUAUGCUUGGCACUGUGCUAGGUGCUGACGUUAUGGUAUAGGAAGCAAAACAUGCUUUUGUCUAUCAAAGAAAGGCAAAUGAACUAUGUAUAAGAAGUAACAGAAUUGAAAUUCCAGAAAGAAUGCUUGAAAAACAUGAUUUCUAUUCCACUAUAAUAAAUCUCCUAUAGUAGAGUUUCAUGUUUCAGGUACCUCACAACUAGAAAGAUAUUUCUGGUAAGGAGGCCUUUAAAUCACACCUCCGUGUCUGUUGCUGGUAUCUAAAGCAAAUUGAUAUUUCAAUCAGCAAUCUAAAGUAACUGAACUUCAAGAAAAGGGCCAGAAGAUCAAUGUUGGGAACUCUCUUCAGUGGCUUCAUGCCUAGCAUCUAUUUCUCCAGAAUAGACUCUCUCAGCUGUCGCACUGGGUCAAGUAAGAGAUCUAGAAACCUUCAUGUCUGCACUGUAAUACUUCAGCUCUAGGUAGAAAUGCCUUCACAGAAUCAGGAUUUCACAUGAUGUCUCUGACUUUUAUAAAAGAUGGGCAUAAGGAAGCCUCUGAGUCUUUUGUAAACUUACAUUUGAGGUUUAAUCAUUAACAUUUUCUUUUUUCUUCCCUAAAAAUAUAGGUGACAAAUUUAUUUGCAUAUUGAAUUCCCAUUUAGCAGGAGUAUACCUGGCCCAUGGUAGUUGCCACAUAAGUAUUUGCUGAAUGAGUGGAUGAAUGAACUAGUAUAUAUUGAGUCUAGUAUUUGCCAGAGUUUGUGCUAGGUGAUUGUACAUGUUAUCUAUUAAUUCCUCUGGCAACACACUUUUAUGCUUUAAAAUCUUUUAAUAAAGUAAAAGUUUUAUAAAUCAUUAUGCUUCCCUUUUUGCCUUUCUGCAAGAAAUAUAAUUGUUUUGCUACACUAAAUUCAUAGGCAGAACUCCAUAGCCUCUUACUAUCUCCUUUUUCCCUCUGUCUCAACAUGUGUACAUCACACACACACACACACACACACACACACACGCACAUGCAUGUGUAUGUACAACUUUUCUUACUUGGCCUUGUUUCCUUUUUGGAAAUAAAUGGUGUAUGAGUAAUAAAUAAAUGACUAUAGGAAUACAGGUGAUACACUGGUGUUGCAGAUCUUUAAUUAAGCUGUGAUUAUUGUGAUAAGAGAUUGGUUUAGAAAAAACUUUUAGACUUUUUAAGCACAUAUCUUCGAUAAGUGUCAUUGAAACAUACAAAUAGUUCUGUGAUCAAUACCAGUUAGCUGUUUUUAUAUGAAGGAAAUAUAAUCAUUGGCCAUUAGUGGUAUAUAUGUUAUUUGCUCUUAUUUCAACAAUAAACAUGAUGUCAUAUAUGCCAUUAGGCUGUAUUUUUCAUCAAAUAUUGAACUGUUUUAGUCUGCCCAUCUCAUAAACAGAAACAAUUAGGGUGAUCAUAAAAUAUGUAGAUUUAUUGAGUGUAGCAAGAUGCAAUAAUAUUCCAAAUUAAACUCAAGCAAUUAAUUUUUUUUUUCCUUUAAUUCAAGUCUACU
rnacentral:lncRNA from 1 species